rnacentral:rRNA from 1 species
UGAGGAAUAUUGGUCAAUGGACGAGAGUCUGAACCAGCCAUGCCGCGUGAAGGAUGAAGGCGUUCUGCGUUGUAAACUUCUUUUGCGGGGGAAGAAACCUUGAUAUUCUUAUCAAGCCGACGGUACCCCGAGAAUAAGCACCGGCUAACUCCGUGCCAGCAGCCGCGGUAAUACGGAGGGUGCAAGCGUUAUCCGGAUUUACUGGGUUUAAAGGGUGCGUAGGUGGAUUUGUAAGUCAGUGGUGAAAUCUCCGAGCUUAACUCGGAAACUGCCAUUGAUACUAUAAGUCUUGAAUUAUCUGGAGGUAAGCGGAAUAUGUCAUGUAGCGGUGAAAUGCAUAGAUAUGACCCGGAACACCGAUUGCGAAGGCAGCCCACUAAGCAAUGAUUGACGCUGAGGCACGAAAGCGUGGGGAUCAAACA